GGACGAACGCUGGCGGCGUGCCUAAUACAUGCAAGUCGAACGAACUGUGGAAAGCUUGCUUUCAGAGUUAGUGGCGAACGGGUGAGUAACACGUAAGUAACCUAGCUAUUAGACGAGGAUAACUACUGGAAACGGUAGUUAAGACUGGAUAUGAUAGAAAUAUUUAAAGGAUGCUAAGGCAUCGCUAAUAGAGGGGCUUGCGGCGCAUUAGCUAGUUGGUAGGGUAAAAGCCAACCAAGGCGAUGAUGCGUAGCCGACCUGAGAGGGUGACCGGCCACACUGGGACUGAGACACGGCCCAGACUCCUACGGGAGGCAGCAGUAGGGAAUCUUCGGCAAUGGACGGAAGUCUGACCGAGCAACGCCGCCGUGAGUGAAGAAAGUUUUCGGAUUGUAAAGCUCUGUUAUUAGGGAAGAAAGGCUCUAGGAGGAAAUGCUUAGGGAUUGACGGUACCUAAUGAGGAAGCCACGGCUAACUACGUGCCAGCCGCGGC
rnacentral:rRNA from 1 species